ACUCAAAUGAAUUGACGGGGGCCCGCACAAGCGGCGGAGCAUGUUGCUUAAUUCGAUGCGACGCGAAGAACCUUACCUGGGUUUGACAUGUGGGGAAAAGCCGCAGAGAUGCGGUGUCCUUCGGGGCCCCAUACAGGUGGUGCAUGGCUGUCGUCAGCUCGUGUCGUGAGAUGUUGGGUUAAGUCCCGCAACGAGCGCAACCCUUGUCCGAUGUUGCCAGCGGGUAAAGCCGGGGACUCGUCGGAGACUGCCGGGGUCAACUCGGAGGAAGGUGGGGACGACGUCAAGUCAUCAUGCCCCUUACAUCCAGGGCUGCAAACAUGCUACAAUGGCCGGUACAAAGGGCUGCUAUCCCGCGAGGGUGAGCGAAUCCCAAAAAGCCGGUCUCAGUUCGGAUCGCAGUCUGCAACUCGACUGCGUGAAGUCGGAGUCGCUAGUAAUCCCGGAUCAGCAAUGCCGGGGUGAAUACGUUCCCGGGCCUUGUACACACCGCCCGU
rnacentral:rRNA from 1 species